rnacentral:rRNA from 1 species
CAAAGGAGCAAUCCGCUGAAAGAUGGACUCGCGUCCGAUUAGCCAGUUGGCGGGGUAACGGCCCACCAAAGCGACGAUCGGUAGCCGGACUGAGAGGUUGAACGGCCACAUUGGGACUGAGACACGGCCCAGACUCCUACGGGAGGCAGCAGUGGGGGAUAUUGCACAAUGGGGGAAACCCUGAUGCAGCAACGCCGCGUGAGUGAAGAAGGUCUUCGGAUUGUAAAGCUCUGUUCUUGGUGAAGAUAAUGACGGUAGCCAAGGAGAAAGCUCCGGCUAACUACGUGCCAGCAGCCGCGGUAAUACGUAGGGAGCGAGCGUUGUCCGGAUUUACUGGGUGUAAAGGGUGCGCAGGCGGCUCUGCAAGUCAGGCGUGAAAGCUAGGGGCUCAACCCCUAAACUGCGCUUGAAACUGUGGAGCUUGAGUGAAGUAGAGGCAGGCGGAAUUCCCGGUGUAGCGGUGAAAUGCGUAGAGAUCGGGAGGAACACCAGUGGCGAAGGCGGCCUGCUGGGCUUUAACUGACGCUCAGGCACGAAAGCAUGGGUAGCAAACAGGAUUAGAUACCCUGGUAGUCCAUGCCGUAAACGAUGAUUACUAGGUGUGGGGGGUCUGACCCCCUCC